rnacentral:lncRNA from 1 species
AUGUUCUGGAAUUUCCUUGAAUUUGACAGUUGAAGGAAAUCUAUCAUUCAUUUCAUUGCAGUAAAAAAAAUCUGUGUCAUAGACAUAUAUCCUGGGUGUUUCAAAGCACCAUUUUUUUAUUUGGUGUUUCUAUAGAUUAUUGUGAAAACAUGAGGUUAUAUUGUUACUAAAGCUUUUACAUAGGAAAAAAGGGUGAACAUUUGAUUGGUGAACUGCCAGUGAUGGUUAUUGUCGUUUUAUGUGCAACUAAACGUAUAUGAAAUAUUUUCUAUAGUACUGAAC